UUAAAAUUUUUACGCUAAUAUUUAAAUCAAAAGUUAUCGGUUUCUUCUUGCACUCCCAUUCGCCGUUUUCCAGAAAAUAUAGGAAUUUAACGAACAGCUAAACUGAAGUCGAGUGUACUAGAGCAGAGAAAAAUUAGCAGAGCAUAGAAUUUAAUU